rnacentral:lncRNA from 1 species
UAUAUGCCAGACUGUUGGUUGAAAGAUGAUGAUGCUAAUUCAGAAUAUACCAGACUGUUUGUUGGUUGAAAGAUGAUGAUGCUAAUUCAGAAUUUGCCACUGUUGGUUGAAAGAUGAUGAUGCUUAUUCAGUAUAUGCCAGUCUGUUCAUUUGUUGAAACAAAAUGAUGGUAAUUCAGUAUAUGGCAGACUGUUUGUUGGUUGAGACAUGAUGAUGGUAAUUCAGUAUAUGCCAGACAGUCUGUUGGCCGAGAGAUGAGGAUGCUUUUUCAGAAUAUGCCAGACUGUUUGUUGGUUGAGAGAUGAUGAUGCUAAUUCAGUACAUGCCAGACUGUUGUUGGUUUUGAGAUGAUGAUACUAAUUCCGUAUAUGCCAGACUGUUGGUUGGGAGAUGAUUAUGUUAAUUCAGUAUAUGCCAGACUGUUUGUUGAUAGAGAGAUGAAGAUGGUAAUUGAG